UGUAAUUGUACAGCUCACACAGUGUCAGUCCUCCUGUCAGCUCCAGUCGUACUCAGCUUUAUAUCUUUUUGGCCGGUAUGGAUGGAUGGAGACAGUGUUUUUUUCUACUUAUGCCACUGUGUGUGCAUGCUUACACUAAAGAGACUGUUGUGAAGACCGUCAGUCGACAACCAGACGUUACUCCAGUAUGCAUGAGUAAAAACUUGGGUAUGACUAUACUGGUAAGAUGUAAAAUCAGCACAGAGAGACACCAGGGGGAGAAACUCUGCCUGCUUUACAUGCCUGGCAAGCAAUUUGACCAAGAAUGCGACUCCAGGUUCACUCUGAUUAACAAGAAUCGGACCGUAUUUAUCCACCUGGCCAGUUUAAUGUCAGUGGACAGUGGGAAUUACAUCUGUGAGUGUUCAUAUGAAAGAGGAACACAUGUUACCCACCUUAAAAUUACAGUGGAAGGUGAGGAGGAUGUUAGAUUUUCUGGCACAAAGUUCGCCGUCAUCGCUCUCAGUGUUGCUACUGGAUUCAUCAUUACAGCGGGGAUAAUCUGUGGACUUAUCCUGAGAAGCAUUCAAAACAGAGUCAACACAAGAUCAGGUGCAUCUGAACUAACCAGAUGUGGAAUUCCCCCGGUUCUGGACGCAGAUGACGUCUACACGAGCCUUCAGCAGCCAGCCGCUGAAGUCUACCAAACUAUGUCUUCAAGUCGGCCUCAUCGUGAUUCUGACGUGGAUCAAACUGACAUCUAUGCAAUUAUCAAACAGGAAAUAGUUGGCAAGGAGAAGGAUUUCCAUCCAAAUAGCCCAAUCUAUGAAACUAUAGGUUGCUUUAAAACUUUAGAUACCUGUUGAUGUCCAAGACACAGGCUUCUUAUGUCGUAUUUUUAUUGCCAGCAGUAAUGAAAUCUGAUGUCUUUUUGAAUAUGUGGUGACCUCAGGCAUAUUACCUUUAGCAUAUUACUUUUACUUACACUCAAACUGUUUUCCAAUCUGGUAUAGACAUGAAAAUCAUCAUUUUUAGUACAUAGGAUCCUGUAGCAGGGUCAAUGCUGUUGCUGUAAAGGAUAUAACUGAAUGUGCACAACCUUGUGCUGUCAAGUUACCUGCACACGUUUCUUACUUUGGGUAAUCGUGUGGGUGUGUUAUCGCAAUAACAAGAUUGUUAAAAGCUCUUAUGUCAAAUCAUCAAAGUUGUAAUUACAGCUGGGAAACACCCUGAAAACCAAACGAAUUGGACACCUCGUACCAGUCGAAGUAUGUAGUUUAAGGUGAUUAGAGCCACAUGUUAUAGAGACAGUAUUAUAUAGUCACUGCACAAUAUGUUUAAUCCUUACUUGUUAUCUCACGACUGUCCUGUGCUUCUUAUUUUGGGUAAUCCCGGUCGCCGUGAUUACAGCAUUAUCUUAUUUUAUGGACAUUCUUUAUCAGAAUAAAGGCUUGUGAUUGGUUUGUUUGCUGUCUGUUUAGUCUGAGAGUAUCUUAACAUGAAAGCAGAAGCACCUGUAGCAGCACUUCCCUUUUAGACGACUUCACGCCUGCUCAUACCCCUGUGUGAAUCGAGAAUUUUGGGUUGCGGUAGCUGAGUGGUUUAAAGAUGCACGUCCGACCUUCUCGCUUCAGUACAACACACUGGGCACUACCAGCAGCAGCUCAGGGCUGUUAAGAUGUCUUGACCAGGAUGGGUAGAUGGAAACUGUGGUUUGUUCUGCUUCUGCCGCUGACUUUCCAAACUGACAGCAAAGAUGUUAAGCAGCUCCUUGUGAAAACAAUUGGGAGCAAACCAGACGUCACUCCAGUGUGCAGCAAUGAAACACAGAAUCCCAUCAUGCUUAUAGUUUUUUAAAACCAGAGGAUGGUGGAAACUACACCUGUCAGUGUUCACGUUCUUAUGGAACAUCUAGCCUCCAUCUGAAUGUCACUGUGGAAGCGGAUGAAGACCCCAGCAGCAACACAAAUAUGCCUUACUUGUACGUUGUAAUUGGUGUGUUUGCGUUCAUCGUAACCGGAGUUAUCGUUGGAGUCAUCCACAGAAAAACUCAUCAUGGGAGACGAGCAGAGCCGCUGCACGAUCGUCCAAACACGGAACCAGGAAUCACUGAGCCGUACAUGACCUACAUUCAGAGGGAGAAUGAGCUUUAUGCUGCCAGUGUGCACAGUUACACCAGUGCUAAUAAUUCAAACAUGUUCCCUUAAGAUAUCACAGAUUUAAUGAUGCAUUUGUAGGGUUUUAGUUGUACAGUAUUGUUUCUGAUAAAUGUUUUAAAUAAAAGAGGGUUUGUUAUCCAUAAGCUGAAUAUUUUGCUUUGCCAGAUAAUUUGCAGUGCAUUAAACCUGAAACAAAGCUAAAUUUAUAUACAUUUUAUUUGUUUUUAAAGGAGCGGGUUGAAUGCAUUACACUGUCUGACAAAUAUGAUGAUAAUAAUAAAUUCUGUAAUAAAU